rnacentral:rRNA from 1 species
UACGUAGGGUGCAAGCAUUAAUCGGAUUUAUUGGGCGUAAAGGGCGCGUAGGCGGAAAUGCCAGUCAACCUGUGAAAUCCCGGGGGCUCAACCCCGGAACAGCAUUUGAAACUACAUUCUAGAGGGUAGAGCGGAGAAAACGGAAUUCCACAAGUAGCGGUGAAAUGCGUAGAUAUGUGGAAGAACACCAGUGGCGAAGGCGGCCUCUCUGGGACGGUACUGAC